AUGGUGGACUAUAAAAUAAUGGGAUCAAAAUUAGGUUCAACAUCGUCAAGGACAAGAACACCUGAAUCCAGAGAAGAUGACUAUCUGAUAGUAAUCCCCUAUUCCCACAUAUUUGGGCUUAUGUUGGAAGCUUUAAAAUUGCCCCCUACAAUUUACCAUCACAAGAUACGUCCGGGUGGCAAGGUCACUUUCAAUUCUUCCUUAGAGCAGCUUGAUGGUUUGCUUGUUUUUACCUCAAUAUCUGGUAUGGUUUCACAUACCUAUGAAGAUGCAGAAGACAGUGCCGCUAUAAAAGCUAUUAGAUAUAUGGAAAAUGCGUGUGGGAAAGAAAUUAGAGACUACCACUACACCCAUGUCAUAAUGCUUCAAAAUCAAGUUAGGCAUUUGGUCACGUGGUUGUUGGAAGGAAAUGAGACUAUCAAGAAACUACGCAAAGGCUGGUACUAUGCUGUUAGGUAUAUGAGCUCAUAUUCUGACCAGAUACAGAACUCAACAACCGCUCAGCACCUAAGAGGGCAAGCUAAUACCAAAGGGAUUAUGAAAUCAGCGCUGGCAGGCAUUGAGGAACUGACACAGAGGUUACAUUAUAUUGGAGUGAAGUCAGAGGAGAUGACUAUUAAAGAU
rnacentral:rRNA from 1 species